rnacentral:tRNA from 1 species
UCCUCCGUGGCGCAAUUGGCUAGCGCGUUCGACUGUUAAGCAACAGUUCAUCGAGAGGUUGACAGUUCAAGCCUGUCCGGGGGAG